AUAAAUUCUUCCACGCAUUCAGUGAAACCAAAUGACCGAUGAGAAUCAAUGCAGGGGUGUGUCAAAGGUAGUUUAGAUAAGAAUCGACUGGGCACGACAGUUUAUAUAGGCUCGACUGUAAAUGGCAAUGCUUGAAAUUCUCGUGGGGAACCAUUUGAUGGCAGAGAUAGCAAUGAUGAAUAUGGAUACAAAUUGUCAAUAUGCCUUAUGUCAAUGGAAUCACAAUCGAUUAUACAAAUAACGUGAUUGGGCAGUUUGUUCCCGGAUAAAUGACAUUGGAAAUAUUGGAAUUGUACGUACAUGUGGGGAGUUACUCACAGAAAUCUAAUUGAGUCAUGAAAAAUUGAGUUUUACGAAUUGUUUCAUCGACUUAAGACUUUGUUUAUGACUUCAGUCCGAAAUAAAAACAUCUCAAAUUCAAGUUUUGCAUUGAAUAUAUCCUGAAAAAAAUAUAUGUGCACAUAUCUGUUCGUUAUAAUUUCCUUAUUCUCUCUCGACAAAUAAAAACUUAUGCAACAGCAUUUUGUUAAGUUUACCAUCGAAGGUCUUGGCUAAAGCGUAAAAAAAACAAGACCCCAUCCAGGUGAUAAGCCAGUGGCUGCAAGUGGGGUAAUUGGUAACGACGACUCAUAAAUGCUAAUACCUCAGUUCACCACCUCUCAAUAGGCAGUCGACAGACCUAGCGCACUUUCCGAAGUCACUAUCUCCAGUGCCUUCAUCAUGACACGUAGAAUAGAUCGUCUCGUGUUGAUUGUCAUGGUGGUUAUUGCUUGCGUAUCCUUUGCCAAUGGUCAGGCAAGGGAUCCAGCAGCCGUUAAGUCAGACACCACAUCUGCUGGUCUAGUGGGCCGAGUGAUGGGAGCUAUCAACCCCAUUACCAGGAUCUUUACGGAAUACAUAAACGCUCUACUUAUCCGUAACAAGGGUAAACAAUUGCCCUGCACCCUCUACAAUCCAAUAAAGUGGGACUGGGAAUGCACCGCAGUCGAGAAAUAGAAAUCAAACAAACUUAUACAUACGAAGAAACCUAUAUAUUUAGUAAAAUUUAUUUUUAUAAUACAAAACGCAUCAAUGACAUAGUAUUACGUAAUUUAAUUAUAUGUUAACUUCUCUAUUCAUGUGUUAAAUAAAUAUGCAAUGUGGUACCUGAGUA